AUUGAACGCUAGCGGAAUGCUUAACACAUGCAAGUCGAACGAGUGGCGGACGGGUGAGUAAUGUAUCGGAAUCUGCCCAGUAGCGGGGGAUAACUACUGGAAACUGUGGCUAAUACCGCAUACUAUUGGAUCGGCCCAUUGCGGAUUAGGUAGUUGGUGGGGUAAAGGCUCACCAAGGCGACGAGCCCUAGCUGGUUUGAGAGGAUUACCAGCCACACCGGGACGUGGACACGGCCCGGACUCCUACGGGAGGCAGCAGUGGGGAAUAUUGCGCAAUGGGUGAAACCCUGACGCAGCCAUCCCGCGUGGAUGAAGAAGGCCUUCGGGUUGUAAAGUACUUUCGGCGGCGAGGCGUUAGUCACAGAAGAAGCACCGGCUAACUCCGUGCCAGCAGCCGCGGUAAUAC
rnacentral:rRNA from 1 species